rnacentral:rRNA from 1 species
CAUGGCUCAGAUUGAACGCUGGCGGUAUGCUUAAGACAUGCAAGUCGUGCGGUAGAAGGCUUCGGCCUUUGAGAGCGGCGGACGGGUGAGUAACACGUGGGAAUCUACCUAUUAGUGGGGGACAGCCCAGCGAAAGCUGGAUUAAUACCGCAUACGCCCUACGGGGGAAAGCAGCAAUGCGCUAAUAGAUGAGCCCGCGUAAGAUUAGCUAGUUGGUAAGGUAAAGGCUUACCAAGGCGACGAUCUUUAGCUGGUCUGAGAGGAUGGCCAGCUACAUCGGGACUGAGACACGGCCCGGACUCCUACGGGAGGCAGCAGUCGGGAAUAUUGGACAAUGGGCGCAAGCCUGAUCCAGCAAUACCGCGUGUGUGAAGAAGGC